GGUGGAAGAAUAAGAAGAAAAAGAAAGAGGUUAGAGAAAACUCAAAGAGCAGAAGGCACUAACUUUCAUAUGACAUCUGCUACUUAUUAAGGGUGCUUGAGAUUCUGGAACAUCUAUCAACCAUCUUCUGGAGGCUGAGCCUUUUUUCAAAAAAAUCUUUGCUUCAUAGCCUUGUGCCCAAUUUGCUAUAAUAGAGAAGUUUCUUAGAAGUCAAGAAAUUAUUUAAAAAUUCUUUGAUGUGAGAACUACCAAUAUCAUCUGUGUUUUAAUACAUGAACAGUGGUCAAGAUGAUGAGCUGUCUCUAAUUCAUCACUAACAUAAAUAACAUAUGGAGAAGGACGAAGAUGGCGGAAUAGAGAAGGUGGCUCUCCUGGCUGCUCUGUGGCAUGAUACCAAGAAAGCAGGCAGCUCCUAUGAAAUGUUGGUAAAAAAAAAAAAAGUGGGGUGGUGGGGCACUUUACUGGGAAUUGAACUUUCAAAGACGAAUGGGGACUUAGAAGCUGGAUAUAAUAAAAUAAGGGAAAAAAUCUCCCAAGCUACCACCAUCACUGGUGCUAGCUAGAGCAGUCCCCCCUGAUGAAAGUGGAGGGAUAAAGAAAUUAAAGAAAAUCACUUUUAGGGUAUAGAGAGAUCAGAGAGCAAAGAUAUUGCCAGACUCACCUGAAAGGUGUGUCACAUAAUAUCUGUGUGUGGAAAAGAAGUGCAUCUCUUCCAGCUGCCCUUAGCGGACAGAAGAUGGAACCAUUUUGCAGCCACAGUAUGGGGGCCGGCAGCUGGGCCUGAAAUACAGGCCUGAAAAACCCAUGCUGCAUAACAGAGUGUGUGCCUAAAUGACCAGGAGAAAAUCAGAUGUGGAGAGGGGUUUACGUGGAGGAAUAUGAGUUGUAGAAAGCUGUGGGCUCCUCCUUCCCCCUUGAGUCCAGCAGCUCACAGGACCAGCUUCUUCCCUCCCAGCCAGGAAUUUGAAAGGGGGGAGGGGGUGACUGAGCUUGGAGAGUCACUCAAGAGGCCAGAAAAUGUGGGCUCUGUGUGUGACUAAGGGCACAAAGGAUUGGCUCCUCCACCACAUGAAUGGAACCCAGGGGAGAUCCCUGGGUUGCAGGCUUCCAACGUGGACCAGCAACUGCUGGGCCCUGGAGCUGUACUGGUUUACACCUUCAGACCACUUGCAUUCAACAAAGAACCUGGAGCUUACCUGGGCCUAUCAUCCACCUCCAGGAACUCCACGUAUAGGGAUCACCUCUCACAGAACACUUCAGAUGCUGCUGAGAAGGAAAGGCGAGAACUUAUUGAACUACAAUGGAAACCAUUAUUUAAUUUUUUAUCAAGAACUAUUUUUUUCUUUUCUCUUUUUAAUUGUGAGUUGAAUUGGUCAUGGACACUUAUACAUAUUUGUUUUUUUCUCAUUUCUAAUAUUUCUAAUGCUUUUUGGAGGCAGUUAUUUUU